rnacentral:misc_RNA from 1 species
AAAAAAUGGGCUGGUCCAGUCCACCGGCCAGAAUAUCUGGUAGUGGUGUAGAAAGCUCUGUAGUUGUAACGAGUAUCAGCUUUGUCCUAGUCCAGGACACAAAGAAAGGUUCAAUCCUGAUUGCUGCCCUCCUGAUCCUGGGAAUUUUCAUGUGCACUCUACACCAUUUCAUAAAACUGGAUUUUUGGUAGCUUGCAAUGAGAGCAGUAGGAGCAAUUCUUCAGAGAUUCGGGGUCUGCUUCAAAUGCCCAACCACUUGCUUUGCUCCUCUAAGGAAUGGUUUGCUUGGUAGGAGUCCGUUAUCAUCAUUGUCAUCUUAUAGCUGUUAUUCUGGGC